rnacentral:sRNA from 1 species
UUGCAUUUGUAGCUCAUGAGGAUGAGAACCUCCGGGGGCAGGGAGGUUCGACUCGAGCGAAGCGAGAGAACGUUGCGCCAGCAACGGCACCGCAUUUAUUGUCGGAUGCGGCGCGACCGCCUUAUUCGACCAACA